GACAGAGGGUGCAAACGUUGUUCGGAAUUACUGGGCGUAAAGCGCGUGUAGGCGGCUAAGUGUGUCGGGCGUGAAAUCCCACGGCUCAACCGUGGAAGUGCACCCGAAACUACGUAGCUAGAGUCCUGGAGAGGAAGGUGGAAUGCUUGGUGUAGAGGUGAAAUUCGUAGAUAUCAAGCGGAACACCGGUGGCGAAGGCGGGUCUCUGGGCAACAACUGACGCUGAGGAGCGAAAGCGUGGGGAGCGAACAGG
rnacentral:rRNA from 1 species